CGAUCCCCUAUGAUCCCAUCGCCGCCGAUCUCGCCCUGGAUCCACUCUCCUCUGGUUGCCCCACCGCGGACCUCCCCUCCGACGCCGGGGCCACGCGCCGCCCCACCUGUCCAGCCCCGCCCCGGAUCUCCCUGUCGUUGGUGCCCUGCCCCACCUCUCUCACCCAGCCUAUACUCCCUGCCGCCGGUGCCCCACUCGCAGCCGCCCUGUCAACGCAGGCGCCGCCGCCGCCAACCGCGCAAGCCGCCCUCCUUAGCCCGGCUGUCACUCCCCGACCUCGACGCGGCCGCAUCUCCUGCCCCUCCCCCCGCCCGACGAGCCUCCCGUCGCCCUUCAUCCCCGACGUGCCUCUGCGUGGUCGGACCUCCACAUGCAGAGGAGAUCCCAUUCUUCUGCAGGUCAACUGCGCCUCCCGUGGACGGUCAUCUCCACUGGAGCCAUUGCAUCAUCCCACCUCCCAGCGCUCAGGCCGUUCGCCGCUGCCAAAUCCGGCUGUUCAACGAUGUAGCACCAGGAGGUCCAGCGCCUCAACCCCUCCGAAUCCCAUGAAAAAACAGCCAGCAGAAGUCCGUUCAGCAGUGGCGAGGCCGUUCAGUGACGCGAACCAAGGUCGUUCACUGGAUCGGGGUCAUCCCGUCGAUCCCCUCUUCGGCGCGCGCUGCUCGGCCUCCCACCAUGCAAGUCCACCGCUCGUUGCGUGCUGCCACUGUCGGGGCCGGCGAGACCCACCCGCCCACCUCCUGUCCCCGCCUGUGGCCGCUUAUGAAGUCCAGCCUGACUAGCCUAUUCACUAUCCCUGGAUACUGCCAAGCUGCACCAACACUUUUAGUUCCUAUUCCUCUCAGACUCGGUGUGCUCUACGGACGGGGAGGCAUGGAGCUGUCGACUAGUAUGGGAGGCGAGCUGCUACUGCGUUUUAGGCGACCUGUGAAGUGGUUAGUGAGUAGAGUGGUCGCUGCAUCCUGGGAGUAUGAGCUCAAAUCUUGGUCCGGUCUUUGCUAUUUGAACACAUGAUAUUACUCACCAGUUCAAGUGUACCUGCAGAUGGGAGAGAGCUCUAUGAGAUUUUGCAAGAACAAGACCGCAAUUUUAUAAAUUUGUCACUUGUUUAAAUAUUGGAUUUGGAGAUGGGGAGGCAGUCCAGCACCCAGUUCGGUGCUCUGGGAGAAACUGAAGAGCUUCCUGGGUAUAAACAAGCAGAGAAGCUUCAAUUUCCUGUCCAUGGAGAAGCAUCAGAGUUUCGAGGGGAGGAGGAGCAGGGACAACCCUGGAAAGAAGAGGGUGAUAGCGCACCACCUCGCGGCAAGGACCGGCAAUAUCUGCCAUGUUCGACAAAUGGUGCAGUUGUUCCGUUUGCCUCAUUCAAUUUGGUCCAUAGACUGUUGCCAUUUGAUAUAAGUGACAAAGAACAACUUAAACAGAAGAAACUAUUGUUGUUGUUCAGUACAGAGUACUACCGAACAUCAAGCUCAAUCUUGCCCGCUUUGAUGCUAUGUACGAGUGGAUAAGAUAGACACUGUGUUUGAUGCUAUGGAACAAUGGAUAAGGUGGAUAAGGUGGCUAAUAAAUUUUUUGGGAGAUGGAUAAUAAAGGUGUGUGGUAGAAAACCACUCGUACACUUCUUUUAGGAAAAAAAAGGGUACACAAAAAUUAUACUUUGUUCAUUGCAUAUACACGUACUCUGAUUCAAUUUGAUAUUUGGACUA